GAGAAAAUGAUGGUGAUGUGUUGAGUAUGCUAUGAUGAUGAUGACUGAGUACUUGGAGUCUCUCGAGGGGUCCCCACCAUUCAUUUUGAAAGCCCUAUGUGCUGCUUCCGGAGUAGCAAACUCAACAUGACCAAAGCCCUUGAGCCUCUCGUCUGCAUCACAAUGGAUGGUGUUCACAUGUAUUGGAGCCGACAUCGAGCCUUUGUCUAAACUCAUAGCUUGAC
rnacentral:lncRNA from 1 species